rnacentral:lncRNA from 1 species
CAUAAGAACAUCUUAAAUGUGCAUGGAAGAAAAGCAAGAAGGAUUCCUCGUGAUUAGAUCAUUGAACUUAUCGAAAGCACCCAAAGCCAGAUUUUACGAUCAUAUUCUUCAUAAAGCCAGUAACGGAGCUUUGUUCUCUCAACGCAAUCACCUACAUAGCCAGAAUUUACAAUGUCGUAAAUUCAUAUUAAAUAAUCUACAAACAGAUAAUAUCCCCAAGAGCACGUUGCAUUUCUCUUACUCCCUUAAAGGACCUAUCGUAAAGAAGGUUAUAUUGCAAAAAAGAACACAUACUUGCAUAGGUCCUGCACUUGAUGAGAAUAAAGAAUGCAAAAUCAGGUUUUACGGCAAUAAACGCUGACCUAGAACAUGGUAUUUUCUUUUUGACACAUUAAUUGUAGUAGUUAUCCGACUAGCUACAUGUCCUGAAAAGUGUUUGGGUGUUCCCGUGUGGCACUCUUGCGCGUCUAGGAAAACUUGCCAAUUCAUUAUUGACAAAAUCAAACACAAUUUAGCUACCUGGAAAGCUGCCUAGAUCUCCAUGUCUGGGAGAGUCAAUAUCGAUCAACCAGUCCUGUCGAUGAUUUCCAAUUACACCAUGCAAACUAUGAUGUUGCUAUCUCUAUCUGUAAUGAGAUUGAAAAGUCUAUGAGACAAUUCAUUUGGGGAGCCACUGAAGAUGGAAAAGAGUUGGCUUUGAUCUCGUGGAACACUAUAGAAUCCAAAGGGCUAUGGCGGGCUAGAAAAUAAAUUUUGAAUCAGGUCAAUAAAGCCGUCUGUCCCCUCUGGCAAUGUGAGACAAGAACCUCACUGUUGCUGAAUAUGUUAGCCAGUCAGGUGAUUGGAAUUGGAAUGGCUUUGCACCACUCUCGCCCGAACUGCUAAUUAUCCAUACCGUACUGAUCCUACCCCUAUAGACCAGGAAGAUGAUGCAAUCUUCUGGAUGAGUUCUAAAUCAGGUCAAUUUUCCUAAAAUCUACUUAUAAUUCCUUGAACAGUAACGUUGCUUCUUCUUUUGUGGCAGGGUGGUUGAAGGUCUAGCAUUGAAUGGGACCCCAACAAGUACGUUUGUUCCUCUGGCUACUAAAGAAUAAUCGACAUUUGACCAAUAGUGAACGACACAGAAGACAUCUGCUCAAUUCUCCUAACUGCCCAACAUGCUUAAAUAAUGAAGGGAUGACUACGCAUAUGUUCUCCGGGAUUUGCAGUGCUAGAACCAAUCUUCCUCUGCCUAGCUAGUUUAUCUUCUUGACUAAAUCCCUCUUAACAAAGGACUGGAUCCUUCUGAACAUAAACGAUCUCAAAUUUCAAAUGGGAUCACUUGGCUCUUAUUUUAGGAGUUGGUUGCUAGGAUGUUUGGAAAAUUCAACCAUCAUCAAAGAAGGGAUGUGAAUCUCAACCAAGAUAUACUCUCCAAGCUAUGACUUUUCAAAUGGUUAUGACAAAAGUUGACAACUCAUGAAUCAAAAAGGUUGCAAUGAGCCAAGAUGCAAGGUAAAAGCUACUCUCAGAAGAUUACUUCAAACUCAACACAGACGGGCCUUCAGCUCAAGUAUAGGUCAGGUAUAUGGUGGAGGGUCAAUUCGAGAAAGCUCAAGGAACUGGGUCCAAGGUUUUGUUAAAAAUAUUGGUAGCUGUUCUAUCUUCACGGUAGAGAAGUGGCAACAUUUCAAGGAUUCCAAUUGCUCGAAGCAUUAGGAAUCACUAGAGUCUUUGUUGAAUGAAAUAAUAAAGGGGUGGUUUCUAUGAUCAAAGGCUCGGCGGCAAGAAUGCCAAUUAAAGGCUUUGUCUUCAGCAAUCCACAAUAUUAUGCAAUCUAUGGUGGAAGUGAGGACCUUACACAUCUUAUGAGAGGCGAACUUAACAUCAGAUUGGAUGGCCAACCAUGCCAAAGACUUCUCUAUAGGUUGUCAUUGUAUUCCUAUUCCCCCGAUUGGCUUAAAACCUUGGCAAACUCAUGCUUAGUAUGAGUCUCUUACUAUAGGUAGUUUCAGUUUUUCCCUCCCUAUUAUUAUUAUUAUUUAAAAAAAAAAGAACCUAUCCAAAUAGAGUAACACACAACAACUACUAAACUUCAAAUAGUAAUUAGUUUGAGGUCAAUGGAUCCUUUUUGCAUUCAGUAAAGUUGUCAGCAGAAAUUCAUUUGAUAAGAUAGAAUUAAAGCAUAAUCACACCUAUUGGAUGAGCUUCUGGUUGAUUUCCCCCCUUUUCCUGAGCUGGAAU